rnacentral:rRNA from 1 species
GUCUGACACAGGUGCUGCAUGGCUGUCGUCGGCUCGUGUCGUGAGAUGUUGGGUUAAGUCCCGUAACGAGCGCAACCCUUGUCCUUAGUUACCAGCACGUUAUGGUGGGCACUCUAAGGAGACUGCCGGUGACAAACCGGAGGAAGGUGGGGAUGACGUCAAGUCAUCAUGGCCCUUACGGCCUGGGCUACACACGUGCUACAAUGGUCGGUACAAAGGGUUGCCAAGCCGCGAGGUGGAGCUAAUCCCAUAAAACCGAUCGUAGUCCGGAUCGCAGUCUGCAACUCGACUGCGUGAAGUCGGAAUCGCUAGUAAUCGUGAAUCAGAAUGUCACGGUGAAUACGUUCCCGGGCCUU